rnacentral:rRNA from 1 species
GAUGAACGCUGGCGGCGUGCCUAGUACAUGCAAGUCGAGCGAACGGACGAGAAGCUUGCUUCUCUGAUGUUAGCGGCGGACGGGUGAGUAACACGUGGAUAACCUACCUAUAAGACUGGGAUAACUUCGGGAAACCGGAGCUAAUACCGGAUAAUAUUUUGAACCGCAUGGUUCAAAAGUGAAAGACGGUCUUGCUGUCACUUAUAGAUGGAUCCGCGCUGCAUUAGCUAGUUGGUAAGGUAACGGCUUACCAAGGCAACGAUGCAUAGCCGACCUGAGAGGGUGAUCGGCCACACUGGAACUGAGACACGGUCCAGACUCCUACGGGAGGCAGCGGUAGGGAAUCUUCCGCAAUGGGCGAAAGCCUGACGGAGCAACGCCGCGUGAGUGAUGAAGGUCUUCGGAUCGUAAAACUCUGUUAUUAGGGAAGAACAUAUGUGUAAGUAACUGUGCACAUCUUGACGGUACCUAAUCAGAAAGCCACGGCUAACUACGUG